GGGGAAUCUUGCGCAAUGGGCGAAAGCCUGACGCAGCGACGCCGCGUGCGGGAUGAAGGCCCUCGGGUUGUAAACCGCUUUCAGCAGGGACGAAAUUGACGGUACCUGCAGAAGAAGCUCCGGCCAACCACGUGCCAGCAGCCGCGGUAAGACGUAGGGAGCGAGCGUUGUCCGGAUUUAUUGGGCGUAAAGGGCUCCUAGGUGGUUCAGUAAGUCGACUGUGAAAAUCCAAGGCUCAACCUUGGGACGCCAGUCGAUACUGCUGUGACUUGAGUUCGGUAGAGGAGUGUGGAAUUUCUGGUGUAGCGGUGAAAUGCGCAGAUAUCAGAAGGAACACCAACGGCGAAGGCAGCACUCUGGGCCGAUACUGACACUGAAGAGCGAAAGCGUGGGGAGCAAAC
rnacentral:rRNA from 1 species